rnacentral:rRNA from 1 species
CGAGUCCGAGUCUCCACGGAGACGAAGUGGCGGUCAUCCAGCUUCCUAGAAAAGCUCUAACCACGUUAAUCUUUAGUUGCCUGUACCCGAAACCGACACAGGUAGGGGGGUAGAGAAUACCAAGGGGCGCGAGAUAACUCUCUCUAAGGAACUCGGCAAAAUGACCCCGUAACUUCGGGAGAAGGGGUACCACUGAGAAGUGGUCGCAGUGAAGAGGCCCAGGCGACUGUUUACCAAAAACACAGGUCUCCGCCAAGUCGCAAGACGAAGUAUGGGGGCUGACGCCUGCCCAGUGCCGGAAGGUUAAGGAAGUGGGUUAGGGAUUCGUCCCGAAGCUGACGACUGAAGCCCCGGUGAACGGCGGCCGUAACUAUAACGGUCCUAAGGUAGCGAAAUUCCUUGUCGGGUAAGUUCCGACCCGCACGAAAGGCGUAACGAUCUGGGCGCUGUCUCGGAGAGAGGCUCGGCGAAAUAGGAAUGUCUGUGAAGAUACGGACUACCUGCACCUGGACAGAAAGACCCUAUGAAGCUUUACUGUAGCUUGGAAUUGGGUUCGGGCUUGGUUUGCGCAGGAUAGGUGGGAGGCGAAGAAGAUUUGCUUGUGGGUGAAUCUGAGCCAACGGUGAGAUACCACUCUAACCAGGCUAGAAUUCUAACUUCAACCCGUCAACCGGGGGAAGGACAGUUUCAGGUGGGCAGUUUGACUGGGGCGGUCGCCUCCUAAAAGAUAACGGAGGCGCACAAAGGUUCCCUCAGGCUGGUUGGAAAUCAGCCAACGAGUGCAAAGGCAGAAGGGAGCUUGACUGCGAGACCUACAAGUCAAGCAGGGUGGAAACACGGUCUUAGUGAUCCGACGGCACCGAGUGGAAGGGCCGUCGCUCAACGGAUAAAAGUUACUCUAGGAUAACAGGCUGAUCUCCCCCAAGAGUUCACAUCGACGGGGAGGUUUGGCACCUCGAUGUCGGCUCAUCGCAACCUGGGGCGGAAGUACGUCCCAAGGGUUGGGCUGUUCGCCCAUUAAAGCGGUACGUGAGCUGGGUUCAGAACGUCGUGAGACAGUUCGGACCAUAUCCGGUGUAGGCGCAAGAACAUUGAGAGGAGUCUUCCUUAGUACGAGAGGACCGGGAAGAACGCACCGCUGGUGUACCUGUUAUCGUGCCAACGGUAAACGCAGGGUAGCCAAGUGCGGAGUGGAUAACCGCUGAAAGCAUCUAAGUGGGAAGCCCACCUCAAGAUGAGUGUUCUCAUGGAGUAAUCCAGUAAGGUCACGGGAAGACGACCCGUUGAUAGGCGGUAGGUGGAAGUUCAGCAAUGGAUGAAGCCGAGCCGUACUAACAGACCGAGGGCUUGAC